GUGCCCUUUUAGAACUAACACAGAGGUUCCAGAGCUUAACACAGAAGGGGAAAGUAAGUCUUGACAAAACCCAGAGAAGAGGUUCUCACCUGUCUGAAGUCAUAGCU